rnacentral:sRNA from 1 species
UAUCAAUCAACUGGGCUUUAAAAUACUCGUACUGGUAGAUAAUAACACAUUACCAUAAUUUUCAUCAGACAAUCUGUUGAAUGAAUGAAAUCGUUAUCAAGAAUUGCGAUUUCUUGCAAUGCCAAUCGUAAAAUCAUGCUGAUGACACUUUAAAUGGAUUUCGAAGUAAUUGACAUUCAGGCGUACUUACAUAUGGUUUGCACAGAUACAAUGUGAUGUAAAUGAAUUUUUAAAAUUAAUUAAUCUAUGAAUACUGUUGAUAGUUCUUGUAACAACACAUUCCCCAAAUAAUUUCGCAAGAAUUGCGCGAUCUAGGAAUGAUCACUUCUGCUUUUAAUUUAAAUUUAUUGUAUCAUCUCACACAUCAUUGUCUAGCGCUGUGACGGCCCCUGAACGGUGGACAUGAAUUCCUACCAAAAGGUCUCGCUUGCAGCAUGACAAAAAUGUAACAAAUUAUAAAUGUCUAA